CCUCGGACUGAAGGAAAACACACACUUCCACACUGCGGAUAAAAGGCCGUCCCACACCUCUGCUUGUCUGACGGAAAUCAGCGAAUGAAUCUGGGGGGGGGGGGGGCUCCUGAUCGUGGAUACAAACACACAAUUCAGCAAGGAUAUCUCAUCCACAGCCAGCCUCGGCAGACGGUUGUGGGAUUUAUCGAUCUGAUCCACGCGCUCACCUGUAUGUCACACCGAGGCUGCACAGAAACUCAUGUGUCCUGCACAUCUGGAGCCCGAAUGAUGCUACCCACUGUCUCCAUCGCCACAUGUGAAUGUCUUAGUCUCCAUGGAUGCAGGAUUCAUCUUGCACGCUGUGCACAAGAAGCUUCAGACGUGCCUUUUGCUGUUACAGCAAACAACGGAGCCUGUUCCUGUCUUUGGUUAUCUAGCUGUAUGAGUGUUAAUCAUCCAUCAUAAAGCUAGAUAACCGAAAGUAGGAAUGCCCUCCAAACCUUCAGCCUCCUGCAUUAAUGAGAUUAAAUGAAAAGAACAACACAGACACAAGAGGACAAGACCUCUUUUCGGAGAAGGACCAUAAUGAUGCUGAUGCCACCAGCUGGGGAGGAUCUUCAGAGCUUGUUACAAGUGUUAAUCACAUGGAUGCACAGGCCAAUACAUGGUAUCUGUGCAGUUAGGCUGCAACAAUGAAAUGGUUCUCUGCCACAUGUAUGGACAUCAGGUGUAACUAAAUACAGUUUUAAUAUUCUGCCACUAACCUUUUGCAUAAAAACAGCAGAGUUUUGAUACUGAAAAAGAAAAUUCUUCAGAUAUACUGGUUAUUUAUAUUAGAAAAUGCUUUUUGUUGCAAUGUGCAUGGAUUUUAACUGAAAUGUGAUCUUUGGUUUGCUCUUGUCAACAUAAUAUUGAGUUGUUGUCUUUGUAAUAGAUUAUUUGUGAUUUUAUUAGUAUUUGGAUGAUUUUUUAAGGCAUUUAAAACAAAAUGUUGAAAGGCUUCUGUUUUCAUUCAUUUAUACAUGGUUAAUUUAUUCAUAUGGCAGUCGAUAUUGUCAAAGCGAGCUGAAUGAAAUUGUUUGCUCCUUACUCAAUAAAAUCAAUGUUGGCGAUA